AUGAGAAAUCAUGAUAGCACCCGCACCGUCAUGAACUUUGUACCACGUGGGUUACUCAGAACACCUACUAAAAUAAGAUAAGAUAAGCAAGAAUAAAAAAAAUUAUUUGUCGGAAUAUGAAGAAAAAUGAGUGACUCCAUUCAGAGAUUUAUCUACUUAGAUAGAAAAAAUCACACUCUAUCUAUAUUAUUAACGAUUAUGUAUCCCAACCCAUCUCGAGGUAUUUGUAUCCAUACAUAUAUAUUCGGUGGAAGCCAUUUUUUCUGUCCCAGGAACCAGAUCAUGAACAGCACAAGGAGAAACGGUGUCAUU
rnacentral:lncRNA from 1 species